CGCGUAGGCGGUCUUGUAAGUCAGAUGUGAAAUCUCUCGGCUUAACCGGGAAAGUGCAUUUGAAACUAUGAGACUUGAGUAUGGGAGAGGGAAGUGGAAUUCCUGGUGUAGAGGUGAAAUUCGUAGAUAUCAGGAGGAACACCGGUGGCGAAGGCGACUUCCUGGACCAAUACUGACGCUGAGGCGCGAAGGCGUGGGGAGCAAAACA
rnacentral:rRNA from 1 species